AUUGAACGCUGGCGGCAGGCCUAACACAUGCAAGUCGAGCGAGAGGCGGACGGGGGAGUAAUGUCUGGGAAACUGCCUGAGGGAGGGGGGUAAAUCCUGGAGACGGUGGCUAAUACAGCGUACCCUAAGAGAUGCGCCGAUGGGAUUAGCUCGUGGGGGGGGCAAAGGCUCACCAAGGCGACGCUCCCUAGCUGGUCUGAGAGGAUGACAAGCCACACUGGAACUGAGACACGGGCCAGACUCCUACGGGAGGCAGCAGUGGGGAAUAUUGCACAAUGGGCGCAAGCCUGAUGCAGCCAUGCCGCGUGUGUGAAGAAGGCCUUCGGGUUGUAAAGCACUUUCAGCGGGGAGGCGUUACCCGCAGAAGAAGCACCGGCUAACUCCGUGCCAGCAGCCGCGGUAAUUC
rnacentral:rRNA from 1 species